UAAAACUUUUAACAACGGAUCUCUUGGUUCUGGCAUCGAUGAAGAACGCAGCGAAAUGCGAUAAGUAAUGUGAAUUGCAGAAUUCAGUGAAUCAUCGAAUCUUUGAACGCACAUUGCGCCCUCUGGUAUUCCAGAGGGCAUGCCUGUUCGAGCGUCAUU
rnacentral:rRNA from 1 species